rnacentral:rRNA from 1 species
CGCCCUUAGAGUUUGAUCAUGGCUCAGGACGAACGCUGGCGGCGUGCCUAAUACAUGCAAGUUGAGCGUUGGUACUUGUACCGAGAGCAGCGAACGGGUGAGUAACGCGUGGGGAAUCUGCCUUUGAGCGGGGGACAACAUUUGGAAACGAAUGCUAAUACCGCAUAAAAACUUAACACAAGUUUAAGUUGAAAGAUGAUUGCAUCACUCAAAGAUGAUCCCGCGUUGUAUUAGCUAGUUGGUGAGGUAAAGGCUCACCAAGGCGAUGAUACAUAGCCGACCUGAGAGGGUGAUCGGCCACAUUGGGACUGAGACACGGCCCAAACUCCUACGGGAGGCAGCAGUAGGGAAUCUUCGGCAAUGGACGAAAGUCUGACCGAGCAACGCCGCGUGAGUGAAGAAGGUUUUCGGAUCGUAAAACUCUGUUGGUAGAGAAGAACGUUGGUGAGGAAACUCAUCAAGUGACGGUAACUACCCAGAAAGGGACGGCUAACUACGUGCCAGCAGCCGCGGUAAUACGUAGGUCCCGAGCGUUGUCCGGAUUUAUUGGGCGUAAAGCGAGCGCAGUGGUUUAUUAAGUCUGGUGUAAAAGGCAGUGGCUCAACCAUUGUAUGCAUUGGAAACUGGUAGACUUGAGUGCAGAGAGGAGAGUGGAAUUCCAUGUGUAGCGGUGAAAUGCGUAGAUAUAUGGAGG